GACGAACGCUGGCGGCGUGCUUAGCACAUGCAAGUCGAACGGAGAGGCCCUGCUUUUGUGGGGUGCUCGAGUGGCGAACGGGUGAGUAACACGUGAGUAACCUGCCCUUGACUUUGGGAUAACUUCAGGAAACUGGGGCUAAUACCGGAUAGGAGCUCCUGCUGCAUGGUGGGGGCUGGAAAGUUUCGGCGGUUGGGGAUGGACUCGCGGCUUAUCAGCUUGUUGGUGGGGUAGUGGCUUACCAAGGCUUUGACGGGUAGCCGGCCUGAGAGGGUGACCGGCCACAUUGGGACUGAGAUACGGCCCAGACUCCUACGGGAGGCAGCAGUGGGGAAUAUUGCACAAUGGGCGGAAGCCUGAUGCAGCAACGCCGCGUGCGGGAUGACGGCCUUCGGGUUGUAAACCGCUUUCGCCUGUGACGAAGCGUGAGUGACGGUAAUGGGUAAAGAAGCACCGGCUAACUACGUG
rnacentral:rRNA from 1 species